GCACAUCGCCUGUGUUCUCCCGAAGCAUCCAGUCGCCCCGUCCGCCCCCCGAAUUAGAUGAAUCAGAGGUGGUGACGGCAUGGCAGCGAGUCUCCUCCCGGCUGCCAGCUCUGGCCAGUUUUGAACGUCGGCCUGCAGCGGCGCAUCGAGAGGGAUUUCCAAGCCAAGUCUGGAUUCCCCAGAAGAGACUGUGAUCGAUUACUGAUGUCUGCUGUGGGCAAGCCAUGGGAGCCUGGCCGCUCCCCAGGUGCAGCCUUACCGACCGGGCCCCUGGGUUCUCGUCCUGGCUGCUCCCUGGAGGAAUCGACUUCCCCUUUUGAACUUGCCACCCGGUCGGGAUGACACAGGUGCCAUCUGACCCGGGUCAUCAUAGGGAAGAGGCGAGAGAAGGGCCUCUGUCUGGGUGUCCCUGGAUGUCGUAUCUGUUAAGUCUGCCCCGUACGUGCAUUAGCGAGUGCUUCUGGGGCUGUGCCCAUCGCCUGGUGCAUUUCUGGGGGUGCACCUCUACCUGCGAGGGUGUUGGGAUCUACCUCCGCCUGCAGGCGUGGCUGCAUCAAGAGCCGGCCCAGGCUGCGGUGGCGGUGACAGAUGAGCCUCGGAAGCCCGCUUCAGCCUCUGGAGGGGGGCUCCCUACGUUCCUCUCCCACGUGGACUCGGCCCCAGAGCCCCAGAGGCUCCCGGCUUUCUUAACGCGAGCUGUUGCCUCGCCCGCUGCACGUGAGUCCUCACCCCAGCGGCAGCGAGAACCCGGGUCGCCUCCUCCUUCCCCUCGUGGCGCCCCUCCCAGCCCUCCUACCUGCUGGCGGGUAGCCUUUCCACCUGCUGGGACAGCUGCCGGCUUGGACUUCAGGGCACGUGUGCCCCUGCUCAGCGGUCUGUGUCUCGACGGUCCCUCUGCCAUCUCUGGAACGUUCCUGGGAUUUGACUGGGGGCUACUCCGCUCUUGCCCUGGCGAGACCGCCCUGCCCAGGUCCCUGGCUCAGUCCCGGGCCACUUCACUGGGAUGUGGAUCCCUGCACGGGCCGGCGGCUGUGCAGGGACGGGGUUCGGGGUCGGGGGUGGGGUGGGGGGCUUCCCUGUCUGCCCCGGGCUCCUGGGCCCUGGACCAGGACUGUGGUGGGUGGAUCAUUCCAGGGCCUCCGCUCUUCUCUUGCCAUCACCAUAUGCCUCCCCCUCCCCUUGCCAUCUCUUCCCUUCCCUGA
rnacentral:lncRNA from 12 species